GUCUUUGGAGACAUUUAGAAGGAGGAUACCCAAGAAGAUGGAGCAGUCUUUGUGUUAAGAGUGGACUAGGCAGCUGAAGAGUUGCCACAGGCUUUCAGGGGAUCACCAAAUCUGUGCAAAUCCUUCAGAUGAACAAGCCCACCCUCUGAAAUGCUUAAUCCAGGUGAUGGAGAAAGAAGAAAGAAAGGUUAUCCAGAGGUUUUGGGAAGAUAUUGUCUGAUGUGUCUGCAGAGUGGGACCCUUUUUGAGAGCUUUGGUCUGUGUAAAACAUGCCUGCCCACCACAGAGCCCCUGUGGGGAUAUAUCCAGGCAACACCUGCCUGCCAGGGAAGGUGAGUGCUAACCCACAGCUCAGCACUUCCAAAUGCCACUGCCAGCCCAGCCUUAUGUGCAAGAACUCCUGCAGAGCUGAGGAAUGUGAAAACAGGAGCUGUGGUGUGUCAUAGGACUGAUGCCACUCGACAGAUGGAGGUGCCCAUAUUGCAGUCACACAAAAUUCCACAGCCCCAGUCUUCCCAAAAUCAUCUCACUGCUGGGCACAGUGAGGAGGGACAGGCUCUCACAUCACCAGCUGUGACUGCAGAGGCUUGAUACAUCAAGAAAACUUCAGAGAAGUUAUUAUUGCCUCACACCAAUGGUAAGGCGAAAGAGAAGCAAGUUAUUCAUGUUUAAUGUUGUUUUGUGCCAGAUGUUUUGCUGGUAGAAAUCCAUAGCUCCACAGGCAUCAAUUUCUUCAGGAUCUGGAAUGUUUGACACAAUUUUUUUUUUCUCCUUUCUGGAUGGCCUGUAAAGGAAGCUGCUUGGUUUUGCAAUAUUGAAUAUUCAUGCUGAGAAGUUAUAAGGAAAAACAAAAUAAUGAGAGACAGGGUCUCUAAUAAGCUUCCUGUCACAUGAGGCUGUGGUUCUGGUGAAGCAGAUGUGGUCGCUGACUUGUUUCCAAAAUGUUUGUUGAGUGGUGAUUAGAUUCUGUCAUAGUGAUGUUAUAUCUCUGUGAUCUCAUUCAAUACAAGUAGUUCUGCAAACAGUGAAAUAUUUUUUUCCUAUGGAUUUAUAUCUUGGCUUGUGUUCAGGCAUGGAUUCUCUGAUGUCUAAUGGGGAUUUAAUUCAUUUUAGCCUGUUUCUUCAAUGAGAAAUGAAUAAUCUGUCUUAGCUUGGUUGUCUAUUUUCACAGAACUUGCAGGAAUUAAAUAUCUUAGGUUCUAAAAAUCUGAGUGGGAAUUAUGAACCAGUUCCAACACUACUUGGGGCCAAUUCAUAUGCACAAACAUAAACCUAAGUCUCAUUUUCUUACAAAAGCAAAAGACAUCAAGGAUAUCCCCUUGUUAUGUUGCUGGAGUGAAGAAAAGAACACUUCUUAUUCCAUUGUUUCUUUCUUCUUUAGCCAUUCAGUGGCCUUUUCCUGAUUCAGUGUAUCUUUCUGAGCUUGGGUGGCCAAACCUGAACAAGCCAGUUCUAUCCCAGUGGUGAUUCCAGCACGAGGUGAGAGGUUCCCACUUCAGUUUGUGAAGAAUUUUCACAGGAUGAAUUCUCAGGAAAUUCUAAGCAGGUACCUUUCCAAGGUGUCUAGUUAUGCAAAGCUCAGUCACCCAAGAGGAAACUUGUCCUAAGUAAAUAACCUGUAUGGAUCAAUGCAAAAAUGCCCACCUGAGGUGACAAAAGGGCUGCUUUGUGCAGGGGAAUUAACCCCUGCACUGCUCCGGGAGCAGCACAUGGUGUCUUGUACUCCUGGAUGUCAUGGUGUCCAUGUGUGCACACAGAGCACUACUGAAGCUGGGGAAAUGACUGCUGCAGUGUUUCCAGCACCUUGGGGAAGGCAACUUCUCAACAGGUUAUAUUGGUAUUUUGGCAGAUCUUUGCUGCACCAAGUAUUCCACCAGUGGAGAAUUCUGGAGAAGUGAUAAGGGGAAAUGCAAGUGACCUCCAGAGCAAGGUACUCCUGAUGAUAAGUUGAGUUGUUUAAGAUGUGAUUUUAAGAGGUCCUGGAUACCUUCUAGAAGUUGCUUAAAGCAUCUGUGUGUCAGCACCCUAGAUAUUUUAAACUGAGCAUGCAAAACCCCAGCAUGGAUGGGCACUCUUCAAUGAGGGGGCCUACAUGACUCCCUUUAGUCACUUGGCAGCACAAUAAUAGAAAUAGGAACGUGGGAUUUCUUAUGUCUAUUGUGUCCAUUAGAACAAUACUGCUGAGAGCAACUGAGACCAAAGGCCUGGCCUUCAAAAUAUAUGACUUGAAAAGAAAGCUGCAUUUUUUUGGUAAGGUCCAAAUGUGUUUCAUUCAGCUUUGCUGCUACUCCCAAAGUUUAGUUGUAAACAAGUCACACAUCUGGGUAGCACUGCCUAUAACUGCCUUCAUCCUCACCAGGAAUUAGUGGCUUCACAAUGUUCUGUGUGUGCAGAAAACAGCUUGUAAGAGGUAACCUGAGCAAACUCUUACAACUGAAGAGCUUAAAUAUUAUCAAUGACCAGCCUGCAAAGUAGCCACAGUCUUUAACUUCAUGGAUAUAACCCUAAAGUCUUGAAAUUCUGCAUUUUAGCCCUGCAGAGUUCCUCUGAUCCUUACUGCUCCCUAUCAAAUUUCCAUGCUGACUUUUUUUCCAGACAGGUCAGCUGUCCAGAGCAGCACCUUUUGUGGGAGGUGAGUGUGAAUUUGAGUAGAACUCACAUACAGCUAUAAAGGGUUUUGUAGCUAUACAGCAAUAAAACUUUGGAAAUAAUUUUUGUACAUCAUAAACAAAAUGAAGUAAGCUGUCAGAAUUAUCAUUACUCAGUGCCAAAAUAAUGUUGCACCUGAAUAACUUCUGUUGAAGUGACAGGUUGUUUUCUCAUUGCAUGGUUGGCAUAUCCUGGAAACUUUGGAUUCUGCACUCUGGAGGCUGAAUUUAUUUGGAUUAAUUAAUAUUUAAAAUGUUCUAUGCUCCUGAUUCCAGCCUCAGUUCCCAAAACCAUGAGAGAUAAAACACUGAAAAAAAUACCCACUGAAUUCCAGUAUGGACAGGGAUCCACAGAAAGGGAUAGGGACUUGGAGACUCCCAGUUUGUGCACAGCUGAUACAAAACCAGGGUUUGGAGUUCAUGGCUGCUGACAGAAUGAGAAGGGGAUGUGACCUGUCCACUCUAAGAGACUGAGGAACACCUGGAGAAGGCUACAUUUUGGAGGAGUUGACAGACUUCACUGGUUGUCUGCCUUUCUCUUCUUGAAACAGCCAUUCCAAAAAGCCUUUACAAACUUCCCAGCAUGGUGGUGAGGUCCUCAGCAUGGAAGAAUAAAAUAAGAGCACUCUUUCUGCAGAGCUGCUGUUCUCCUCUGCUCCUAGACUGUUCCUACUCCCAGUCAAGCACACAGCUUGCCAGCUGAUUUGUGGCUGAUUGCCACAUGCUCCCAGUUUCCUUUACACUUGCCUGGCAUUUCCUUGCAGAAGUAGAGCACAGAAGAGCCUCUCAUGAACCACCUGGCUUCAAGCACAGAGAUACAGCUGUCCCCUCAGUCUGAGUAACACCAGGAUGUGGCAUCUCCUGGGGCUCUGCAGGCUCUGAGAGCUCAGAAAGGCAGAGACAGAGGCCCCACAGGUGUUCCUUGGCAUUUCAACACCUCUCUCCUUGCUGGGUGUCCCUGAUGGCCUUUGUAAAUCAUUAAUGAAAGAUACUUCUGAAUAAAUACUUUCUCUGUUAUCUUC